UGGGGAAUCUUGCACAAUGGGCGAAAGCCUGAUGCAGCGAUUCCGCGUGGAGGAUGACGCAUUACGGUGUGUAAACUCCUUUUUUGGUGGAAGACGAAUGACGGUACACCAAGAAUAAGGGACGGCUAACUACGUGCCAGCAGCCGCGGUAAUACGUAGGUCCCAAGCGUUAUCCGGAUUUACUGGGCGUAAAGUGUCCGUAGCCUGGUAUACAAGUCAGUUUUCAAAUCCCACGACUCAAUCGUGGAAAGGGAAUAGAUACUGUAUAUCUGGAGAGUAUUGGAGGUUAGUGGAAUUUCCGGUGGAGCGGUGAAAUGUGUUGAUAUCGGAAAGAACGCCGAAAGCGAAAGCAGCUAACUAUGAUAUUUCUGACGGUAAUGGACGAAAGCUUGAGUAGCAA
rnacentral:rRNA from 1 species